UGCAAGUCGAACGGCACCCCUCUCCGGAGGGAAGCGAGUGGCGAACGGCUGAGUAACACGUGGAGAACCUCGCCCCCUCCCCCGGGAUAGCCGCCCGAAAGGACGGGUAAUACCGGAUACCCCCGGGCGCCGCAUGGCGCCCGGGCUAAAGCCCCGACGGGAGGGGAUGGCUCCGUGGCCCAUCAGGUAGACGGCGGGGUGACGGCCCACCGUGCCGACAACGGGUAGCCGGGUUGAGAGACCGACCGGCCAGAUUGGGACUGAGACACGGCCCAGACUCCUACGGGAGGCAGCAUG
rnacentral:rRNA from 1 species